rnacentral:lncRNA from 1 species
UUGAUUGAUCUAGAAAAUCAUAUGAGAUUAAAAUAAGUCAUCUGAAUGAUUCGGUAUAUGGAUAUAAUAAUUGCACGAUAGUAUGUUGGAAAUUGAUGACGAUUUAUUUUGUGUUUGUUGAAAUUAUAGUAAGUACAUGUAACUAUCAUUAUUAAUUCUUAUGGAUAUGCAGUUUACUUUUUUCCUAUAUUUAGUGAGAUAUAGUCUCACAGGUCCACCACCUAGUCUAACUAUUUAUUGGAAAAUAUUCUACAACGGAAAAUGAUCUCUCAUACUCAUGGUAAUGCUUUUUUCACUAUCUCACGUCAAAAUUUAUUAUGGUGGAACCCAAAUAUAAAUAUAUACACUAACCUAACAUAUUCCGAUUAGCUUUAUACCUAGUUCUUCGUAGGAUUAAAAUUAGGUAUUUCAUUUGCAAUUAUAACAUAAAUACAAGUAAAAAUGCCACUCAAACAAUAAAGCUACCUAUACAUAUGCUCUCAAAUUAGUAUCAGCUAACUCAUUUGUUUAUAUUUAAUUAAACUCAACAUAAAAAUUAAAUAUAUUUUAUCGUAUAUCAUAUUUUAAUUAGAGAUUACGAACCACCUAAAUAACAUUUAACAAGUCUAAAAUCUCUCUUUUAUUAGGAGACAAUUACUUAAUUUUAAAAUACACAAAAAUAACUUUUUGAUCCUCAAUUAUACACAUAUUAAUGCCAAUAAGUCUACACCUAGCCAUAACCACAAUAAUUUUUUUACAAGAAAAAUGUCCAUUUUGGAACCUCUAUUAUUUAUUUCCAUAAAGUUGCUAGUAGACUAAUACACGUUCCCCAAAUAAACUUUCGACCACAAGUUUAUAAAAUUGGCAAAGGAUAUUAGAAGGUAUAUUGUUAUUACAAUAAUACAUUCCAAUAAUGUGUGAAUGAUUUUAAAUUCUAAGGUGUCUUCAUCUUCGUACCAUAGGUUUUUUCGUAUAUGGCAACAAUAUCAAAGUCUGUAUAUAAUUUCCUUAUGAUCUCUUACUAUCACAACUUUCAAAUCUUAUUAUUUGACCCUAAACAUACUGGUAGGUGACGUUCAUCAAAUCAAAGUGGGCUCACUCUCUAUUUAAUACAAUCUAAAUUUGAGUAAUAAUUUAAAUAAUAAUAAUAAUGAAGAUUCAAGAUGCAGUGAACUAGUGGACACAAAUGCCAGGCAGAUAUAUCAUUCUAGAAAUGAGACUCCAUAGGAUAAAUGAAUUAAAUAAAAUUGGUAUUAAUUAGUGGCAGAUAUAACAUUUGUUUAUAUAUUAUUUUUGUUUUAGUUACAUAUACACACUAAAAGUAAUUUAAAUUAAUUUUACAGUGAUUAUUUAUACUAUUA